ACAAGCGGUGGAUGAUGUGGAUUAAUUCGAUGCAACGCGAAAACCUUACCUACCCUUGACAUGUCCGGAAUCCUGCAGAGAUGCGGGAGUGCCCGAAAGGGAAUCGGAACACAGGUGCUGCAUGGCUGUCGUCAGCUCGUGUCGUGAGAUGUUGGGUUAAGUCCCGCAACGAGCGCAACCCUUAUCAUUAGUUGCUACGCAAGGGCACUCUAAUGAGACUGCCGGUGACAAACCGGAGGAAGGUGGGGAUGACGUCAAGUCCUCAUGGCCCUUAUGGGUAGGGCUUCACACGUCAUACAAUGGUCGGUACAGAGGGUCGCCAAGCCGCGAGGUGGAGCCAAUCCCAGAAAGCCGAUCGUAGUCCGGAUUGUUCUCUGCAACUCGAGAGCAUGAAGUCGGAAUCGCUAGUAAUCGCGGAUCAGCAUGUCGCGGUGAAUACGUUCCCGGGUCUU
rnacentral:rRNA from 1 species